rnacentral:lncRNA from 1 species
AUGCUUGUCGGUAAUUUUAUCCAAUUUACACGCUGAUGCGCCGAGGGUGCUCGGUAAAAUGACUAAAUCAACUCAAUUUCUUUUAGUUUUCUCAUUUUCUUUCCGUUCUUAUUUGGGUGUGUCUAUGUUUCUGGUGAGCUUCUGUUACUUCCUUUUUUCCCUCUCUCCAGUCUCCAAUUAUUAUUUAAUUUUAGAGUUUUUUUUUGUCUAAAUCCUAUUUGAGUUGAGAGGUGUAUAAUUUAGAUCAUAUUUCUUCUCUUAGGUAGUGGUUUUUAAAUGUUGGUUACUAUUAUGCUAACGUUAUCUUUUUAUUAAAAAAUGGGUGCAAUUUUGAGCUUUAAUUUCCUUCUGCUCUAUUUUUACUUCUUUUUGCUUCUUCUUUUUGUUUUUUUUCCUUUCUUAAUUCUUUUACCCCGUUCUGCCCGUGUCUAUUCUGAUUUAUCAAGAAUUUUGCAGAUGGCUUUUCCAGUGGUCGGAGCAUUACUAUGUCUUUGCUCCCAUUUGCCUCGAGAGUCGUUCCACUAAAUACCUCAAUGUAAGUAACUAGAUAAGUAUUCCAUAAAAAGAGUUGGGCUUCAAGAAAAUAUCACCGCCAAGCAAAAAAGAUUGAGUUACAUCCUCAGUUAUUAUAACGAUGUGUUCGCUGGUGUUUAAAAAAGGGUAAAACUUCUGCUGCCAUGAUUACUACUCACCUUGACUAUGUGUAAAUCUUGAUUUGUUAUGCCAUUUUGCUGGAAUUAUCUUUAUCGUGCUAUUUUUUUAAAUGAUACUUCGUUUUAGGUUUUGGUUUAAUUUUCAACGAUUGCAAAGUUGAAUAUUUGAUCAAUUUGCUACGUGAUUUAAAUAAAUUUUUCUUUUCUGUUUCAUGAAGCUAUACGUCAGUUUCAGUUUGUUCCUUUUUUGAUUUUAGAUAUAAAGCUUUCUUGAAAUGUGUGGGUCUAUAUGGGCAAUAUUUAUAUAUCGAUCUAGAUUAAAGUACACGUCAAAUAAGCUUUACGCAUAUUUAACAAGAGAAUAAAGAUAGACAGGGUAAAAAGUAAUGGAGUGGUGAAACAAAAUAUUCAUUUUCACUAUCAAGUCUUUGCAAUGUGAACUUGCAAUGCAGACUUUAAGCCAUUAAUGUGAACUUGGCAAUGCAGACUCACUGCAAGUAGGUUGUUUUGUAAGCUUAGAGCUUCUGUUUCAAAUUCUGAUAACAAGCCAAUUACUAUACCCACUCUAAAAAAAAGAGUCAUCUGAGAUGAUCUAUACUGAUAUUUCCCGUUUUGGCUCGGGAAUGCAAGUUCGAAUGUGUCAACCGCAGCUUAUAUCUUAGAAUUGUCUUGUUAUUUUUAUUGUCAAUGCAGCUUCUCCGUACCAACUUAUGGAUAGUCCUCAUCUCUGGCAAGAAUUGAGCAAAAUUUUUACUUUGCUUAUGGAUCUACCAAAUUCUUCAUGGCUAUUACAUAUUCGAAUUUUCUUAAAAAUUUUCUACGAUGAACUUUAAUUUUGAUCAAUGUUGGAAAUAACAAGAUCCACACAUUUCAGAAAAGUAUUAUACUUAGCAUCAGAAUGGAGAAGAAAGAGACAACGAAGUAAAAGGAGCGGUAGAAGAAAGGGGAAAUGGAAUUACAACAAACACAACUGAAAUAACCAAAUGAUUGGAAAUCAGCUUGAAAACCACCAAAACAUUUUCUCUUCUGAAGGAAUACCUAAUCAUAAUUAGCCGCUUUAAGUCUUUAUUCUAUUUCAUAGCAUUUAAUAUCACAACAUUCUAUAGAUAAUUCUUUCACUUGAACUUCAUAGUAAGCUUGCAGCCUUGCACCUAACAUUUGUUAGACAACUCAAGGCAUUUGAAUUUACACUUCGAGUGCAAAUCUCCUUUAGAGUUAUUAAUUGAUAAUUUUACUAUUCCAAAAGAGUACCGUAUGGACUGUCUGCUGUCUUCUAAAUUUUAUUCUUCUAAAUAUUGCAUAAUUUUAAAAUUAUGGAAUUGAAUUAUUUUUUGAAUUUGGUGGACUAUUGUAAAGUAUCAUCAUUCAAGAAAAUCCCUUUUUGUUGAUGAGUCUUGCUUCCGUGAUCCCUCUCAAUUUUUGCAGGAGGAGGAUGAAAGAAUAAAAAAGGAUGACAAGAACAAUUUGUGCAAUAAUGAAGAGGGCAUCGAUUUGGGGGGGG